GCGCCCGUAGCUCAGUCGGAUAGAGUGUCUGACUACGAAUCAGAAGGUCGGGGGUUCGAAUCCCUCCGGGCGCG
rnacentral:tRNA from 1 species